rnacentral:misc_RNA from 1 species
UUUUUCCAAAUGCUAUUUUGCUACCAAUUAAGAUGGGUCAAUUGUUUUUGUGAACCAUUAUACAUGCUGAGCUUCUUGUUUGCGCUGGGGGCAAAUAACAGAAGUUUGUAUAGCAUCAGUUUUGGAAUGAAACUGAGUUAGUGAUUGGAUUUUCAAGAUUUAUGGAAAAAGCAAGUAACUGAGCUGGUUAUAUCAUCAUACUUAUGAUUUUAGAGUUUUUUCCCCCCUCCGUAGUUGCUGCAAUGCACAAGUGAAAUAGUGAGUAUAUGAUUGAUUUGUUCAUUCCAAAGAAUAAGCGGUAAAAACAUAAUGUUUGUUACUCAUGCAGGCUAGGUGCCUGUCAUAGAUUGUUA